AGUUGGUCCGACGGUUGUGGGUUAUUGUUAAGCUGAUUAACAUUGUCUCCCUCCACACAACCACAUUUGACUGACUUCGU
ensembl:misc_RNA Y_RNA Y RNA